rnacentral:miRNA from 1 species
GUGAGGAGGGGCUGGCAGGGACCCCUCCAAGUUGGGGAUGGCAGCCAGCCCCUGCUCACCCCUUGCC